UACGUAGGGUGCGAGCGUUAAUCGGAAUUACUGGGCGUAAAGCGUGCGUAGGCGGUUCGUUAAGUUCGUUGUGAAAGCCCCGGGCUCAACCUGGGAACUGCAAUGGAAACUGGCGGGCUUGAGUGCGGAAGGGGCUACUGGAAUUCUUGGUGUAGCGGUGAAAUGCGUAGAUAUCAAGAGGAACACCUGCGGCGAAGGCGGGCUGCUGGGCCGACACUGACGCUGAAGCGCGAAAGCUAGGGGAGCGAACGGG
rnacentral:rRNA from 1 species